GACGAACGCUGGCGGCGUGCUUAACACAUGCAAGUCGAACGGAAAGGCCCUGCUUUUGUGGGGUGCUCGAGUGGCGAUCGGGUGCGUAACACGUGAGUAACCUGCCCUUGACUUUGGGAUAACUUCAGGAAACUGGGGCUAAUACCGGAUAGGAGCUCCUGCUGCAUGGUGAGCGUUGGAACGUUUCGGCUGUUGGGGAUGGAUUCGCGGCUUAUCAGCUUGUUGGUUGGGUAGUGGCUUACCAAGUAUGUGACGGAUACCCGGCACGAGAGGGUGACCGGGCACCUUACGACUAAGAUAGGGAGCAGUCGGCAACGGGAGACAACGGUGGGAAGUCUGACACAGUCAGAGGGAGCCGGAGAAGAAGGCGUCGGGUUCGGGAUGACGGCCUGCGGGGUGAGAACAGCUUUCGCCUGAGACGAAGCGUGAGUGACGGUAAUGAGUAAAGAAGCACCGGCUAACUACGUG
rnacentral:rRNA from 1 species